rnacentral:rRNA from 1 species
GAUGAACGCUGGCGGCGUGCCUAAUACAUGCAAGUCGAACGGACGGACGAUGAUCUUGCUGCUCGCAUGUUAGCGGCGGGCGUGUGAGUAACACGUGUAUAACCUACCUAUAAUACUGGUAUAACUUCGGGAAACCGGAUCUAAUACCAUAUGAUAUUUUGAACCGCAGUGGGCGAAGGUAAGAUACGGUCGUUGUGGCACUUAUAGAUGCAUCCGCGCUGUAUGGGCUAGUUGUUAAGGUAACAGCCUAGCAAGGCAACGAUGCGUAGACGAGGGGAGGGGGUGGUAGGCCACACUGGAACUGAGACAGGGACAUGAGGACUGCGGGAGGCAGCAGUAGCGAAUGUUACGCAAUAGGCGAAAGCAUGACGGAGUAAGGCCGCGUGAGAGAUGACGGUGUUCGGAUCGUAAAACUCUGUUAUUAGGGAAGAACCUAUGUGUAAGUAAAUGUGGCCAUAUUGACGGUAACUAAUAAGAAAGCACCGGCUAACUACGUG